rnacentral:rRNA from 1 species
GUCUACAGCCAUGCCACCCUGAACAAGCUCGAUUCAGUCUGCUCUCGGAAGGUAAGCAGGGUCAGGCUUGGUUAGUACUUGGAUGGGAGACCACUUAGGAAGACCAAGUGCUGUAUGCA